rnacentral:lncRNA from 1 species
UUGGUUUAUUGGUUAAAAGACUUUUUAUUUAUUUUAAAAUGGGUCGUCUUUUAAUUUCAAUGAUUGAAUUUUCUUUAUUUUUUUGGGAUCAUGGAGAAUGGGCACAUGGUCAGGAAGUGGGUUUCCCUAUUUUAUUUUCCUUAGAUAUUUCAAAUUUUCUAAUAAUUAUAAUGUGAAAUUUUGAAACUAAAUUUGGACGAAUUUAAAAUAUUUUUACCUAUCAUGUGUAUUAAAAACACGUUUUAAUUCAAAAUGAAUCUUUGGUUUUU